rnacentral:rRNA from 1 species
UACGUAGGGACCAAGCGUUGUCCGGAAUCAUUGGGCGUAAAGAGCGUGUAGGCGGUCUGUCGCGUCUGCUGUGAAAAUCCGGGGCUCAACCCCGGACUUGCAGUGGGUACGGGCAGACUAGAGUGUGGUAGGGGAGACUGGAAUUCCUGGUGUAGCGGUGAAAUGCGCAGAUAUCAGGAGGAACACCGAUGGCGAAGGCAGGUCUCUGGGCCACUACUGACGCUGAGGCACGAAAGCCUGGGGAGCGAACGGG